UUUACCAAGGGAAAAGGCCCAUCCACACUUACCCCUGUUUAAUUGAAAAUUAGGGUUCGCGCCAGUCAUGUUACGGCAAUUUGGGGGCGCUUUUAGUCACGAGACUACAACCUACAAUCGCAAAUCCAACCAUCUCAAUAUGCUAUGGAACUAUUUGCAGGUUUGCCAUCAGAAUUUCAGUUUUCAGCGGCUAUCGACUCUGAGAGUUCUACAACAUCCUAAUGAGGCAUUCAGGUUUCCAUUAACUUUGUCAAGAGGAUAAAGCAUUCGGCGGCCACGUGAGCUGUGGUGUAAAGAGAGUUUGGGCUUCUAAAGUUAAAUGAAGCAUAAGUUUUGAACAUGAAAGUGGUGUAAGCGUUUGGCAAAGUUUGAAGGGGACACACAUGUUUAUAUCUUUGGAUAAGAGAAGUGGCAUCAAUAGCCACAUGGUUGGGCCAUGACGCUUUCUUUUGCGUCUGUGUACGUGGCAGAGCUUUCUAGACCUCAUUUGGCUUUGCAGUUAAGUUUUCUUGAUAGUUAAAAGUUUUUGAAUGUAGUAGAAGAAAUGUUAAAUUGAGAUCAUUUGGUUUUGUCAUGGUGUAUCAUCAUUUGCGCAACCAUGUGAAUGUAAACGUAUUUCAUUGUAAAUCUAGCGAGUAUCAUUC